AGCAGUUCUCAAGUGACACACCCCAGAAUCAGGCUCCCUCCUCGCUGGUUCUGGAUGCAUCACCCGAGAACCGCA
rfam:Myotis davidii contig55814, whole genome shotgun sequence.